AUGUCCUUUAAAAUUAGUCCCGUGAGGCUAGCAAGGCAGACUUAAGUUUCUGUUGAUGUAUCGAAAAGGACGGCAAAGAUUUCUUUGCCAAUGUAAAACUUAAAAUCAAAAGUUCAACCAUUUAAUUGACUCCAGAGAGGGCCAGAAGGGUUGCUGAAUUUUUCGCAUACAUACACUUGUGAAGAAGAAGCCUGGAGCAAUUAAAUGCUUCAGGCUUUUUUUGCU
rfam:Lactobacillus kalixensis DSM 16043 Scaffold28, whole genome shotgun sequence.